CUACGGGGGGCACCAGUGGGGAAUAUUGCACAAUGGAGGAAACUCUGAUGCAGCAACGCCGCGUGGAGGAUGACACUUUUCGGAGCGUAAACUCCUUUUAUAUAGGAAGAAGAUGACGGUACUAUAUGAAUAAGCGCCGGCUAACUCCGUGCCAGCAGCCGCGGUAAUACGGAGGGCGCAAGCGUUACUCGGAAUCACUGGGCGUAAAGAGCGUGUAGGCGGAUUAAAAAGUCAGAAGUGAAAUCCUAUAGCUUAACUAUAGAACUGCUUCUGAAACUCUUAAUCUAGAAUGUGGGAGAGGUAGAUGGAAUUUCUGGUGUAGGGGUAAAAUCCGUAGAGAUCAGAAGGAAUACCGAUUGCGAAGGCGAUCUACUAGAGCAUUAUUGACGCUGAGGCGCGAAAGCGUGGGGAGCAAACAGGAUUAGAUACCCCUGUAGUC
rnacentral:rRNA from 1 species